UACGUAGGGGGCAAGCGUUGUCCGGAAUCAUUGGGCGUAAAGAGCGUGUAGGCGGCUCGAUAAGUCUGCUGUGAAAGUCCAGGGCUCAACCCUGGAAGGCCGGUGGAAACUGUCGGGCUAGAGUCCGGAAGAGGUGAGUGGAAUUCCCGGUGUAGCGGUGAAAUGCGCAGAUAUCGGGAGGAACACCAAUGGCGAAGGCAGCUCGCUGGGACGGUACUGACGCUGAGACGCGAAAGCGUGGGGAGCAAACAGGAUUAAGAA
rnacentral:rRNA from 1 species